UAGGGAAUCUUCCACAAUGGACGCAAGUCUGAUGGAGCAACGCCGCGUGAGUGAAGAAGGUCUUCGGAUCGUAAAGCCCUGUUGUAAGAGAAGAACGUGUGUGAGAGUGGAAAGUUCACACAGUGACGGUAACUUACCAGAAAGGGACGGCUAACUACGUGCCAG
rnacentral:rRNA from 1 species